UAUUUUUAUGUUGAAUAUAUGUUAGUAUUGCAUACUAUGUUAGGAUAUUUUCAAAGUUUUGAUUAAUAGAAAUAGAGUGUUUAAAUUGUAGUUUGUUUUUUUGUUACAAAAAUAAUUUUACUGCUUUUAGUGUUGAAACAUCGAACUCUAUGAUAUCUGUUUUAUAUUAACAUAUUAGAAAAUUAUAUGUGAUUAUGUUUUUUUUUAGUUUUAAUAAUUUGAAGUUUUUUUGUUUUAAGUUUUAUAACUUUACUACUUUAUUAUUUUUUCUUUUAUUUUUGAUUAUAAGGCUUUAUAAUCUUUAUUAUCUAACAAUUAGUAAAUUAAUAAAUUAUGUUUUUGUUUUUAAUAUAAAUGAAUUACUAAUUAUCCGAUCAAAUGUUUAUUAAAGACUUAGGAUUUAUAUUAAAUCUGCCUUCUGCCCUAUGAUUUUUUUAAAUGGCAGUCUUAGCGUGAGGACAUUAAAGUAGCAAAAUAAUUUGUGCUUUUAUUGGGUUCGAGUAUGAAUGAAGUUUUGGUUGGUGAUAUUUUUUUUUUUUUUUGAAUUUAAUAUAUAUCUAAGAAAAGAUAUUUAUAAUAAUACAAAGAUAAGUCUUCGGAAAUUUUAUUUCUAAAUUAUAUUUUUUGAUUUAGUAAUUUAUCUAGGGAAGAUUAUUAUAUAAUUUUUUUUUACUAUUUUUAAUAAAAAAAAUUACUCCGGAGUUAACAGAAAAACAUGCCUUAUAUAGUUCUUAUAUUUUGGUAAGUUUUACAUCGAUGUUGUAUCUUUAUUAGCUGAAGAGGAGAAAUUUCAGUUUUUUAGACUGUUCUUCUUUUAAUAAAUAAAACGUGAUAUUAGUUUAAUUCAUCGUGAGAUAGAAUUGUUUAUCUUGUUUAUUAUUUUUUUUUACCGGGAUUAGUACGAAAGGAAUUUCAUUAUAAUUUUAAAUUUUUUAAUUUU
rnacentral:rRNA from 1 species